AACGAACGCUGGCGGCAGGCCUAACACAUGCAAGUCGAGCGAGGACUUCGGUCCUAGCGGCGGACGGGUGAGUAACGCGUGGGAACGUGCCCUUUGCUACGGAAUAGCCCUGGGAAACUGGGAGUAAUACCGUAUGUGCCCUUCGGGGGAAAGAUUUAUCGGCAAAGGAUCGGCCCGCGUUGGAUUAGGUAGUUGGUGGGGUAAUGGCCUACCAAGCCGACGAUCCAUAGCUGGUUUGAGAGGAUGAUCAGCCACACUGGGACUGAGACACGGCCCAGACUCCUACGGGAGGCAGCAGUGGGGAAUCUUAGACAAUGGGGGAAACCCUGAUCCAGCCAUGCCGCGUGAUCGAUGAAGGCCUUAGGGUUGUAAAGAUCUUUCAGCUGGGAAGAUAAUGACGGUACCAGCAGAAGAAGCCCCCGGCUAACUCCGUG
rnacentral:rRNA from 1 species